rnacentral:rRNA from 1 species
UUGAACGCUGGCGGCGCGUUUUAAGCAUGCAAGUCGAACGGCAAGGGUGGAGCUUGCUCUACCCCUAGAGUGGCGGACUGGUGAGUAACACGUGGGUAAUCUACCUUGAGGAUGGGGAUAGCUGUUAGAAAUAGCAGAUAAUACCGAAUAAGCUUGAUAUGUUAAAUCAUGACAAGGAAAGGGAGCUACGGCUUCGCCUUAAGAAGAGCUCGCGGCCCAUUAGCUAGUUGGUGAGGUAAAGGCCCACCAAGGCGACGAUGGGUAUCCGACCUGAGAGGGUGAUCGGACACAUUGGGACUGAGAGACAGCCCAGACUCCUACGGGAGGCAGCAGCUAAGAAUCUUCCGCAAUGGGCGAAAGCCUGACGGAGCGACGCCGCGUGUACGAAGAAGGCCGAAAGGUUGUAAAGUACUUUUGCAUAUGAAGAAUAAGCGAUAUAGGGAAUGAUAUUGUGAUGACGGUAAUAUGCGAAUAAGCCCCGGCUAAUUACGUGCCAGCAGCCGCGGUAACACGUAAGGGGCGAGCGUUGUUCGGAAUUAUUGGGCGUAAAGGGCAUGCAGGCGGUUAGGUAAGCCCGGUGUGAAAUGCUCAAGCUUAACUUGAGAACUGCACUAGGUACUGUCUAACUUGAAUCACGGAGAGGAAACUGGAAUUUCAGGUGUAGGGUGGAUCUGUAGAUAUCUGAGAUACCGUGCGAGCGUUCUGGCCGAUGAUUGACGCUGAGAUGCNAAAGUGUGGGGAGCAACAGGAUAGAUGCCUGUAGUCACACUGAACAUGUCACUAGUGUUGGCAUGAUCUAUCCGACAACU